UGGCGGAACUUGACUGCGGGGAGCCGGCGCGGGAGCUUCGGGAACCCACGACGUCAGCACCGCCGCCCGCCGUCGGCGUUGACGGCCACGCCGAGGCUUUUGCUGAGGGCCUUCAGGUGGCAGGGGCGGCAGAAUAGCCCCAUUAGGCCGCAGUGAGCCUGGGCGUCCCCGCAGACCACCCCGGGGGGGUCCCCGAUAGAUGGCCCACCGGGAUCCCAGGUAGGAGUCUUUGGCCAAGAUUUCAGAACGGGAUAUAAAGUGCGACGGGUGGAAAGAAAAAUUACCAGGGGAAACGGAGGGCGUGAAAUCAAAAUCCAGGUCGGAGUCGGAAUCAGAAUGGAAAUCAUAUGAAUCGUGAUCUUCAAAAUCAGAAAAAUCUGAAUCUAAAAAAACGUGGCGAGGCAGAAUAUAAUCAGGGGAACAUGCGGAUGGUCGUCGGCGUGUACGCCGGUGCUGGAUUUUUCCCGCUGGGUCCACUAGUGGUUGCGUCAUUCUGUCAGGAAUGAACGGGCAGGCAGGCAGGUUGUUAUGGACCCAAAUGCAGGGAAAACGAAAAAGGCAGCGAGGCAGGUGGCAGAGAACUCAAAAAGGCUUUAAUGAUAACUAACAAAAGGCACAAAGUACAAAACAAAGGCUGUGGUGAUCAAAAAACUAUCAACAAAUAACUUAGGUCACUAACAAAGGCUGAAUAUCAAAAACUUACUGAGACGAACACGAGGGCUAGGACAGGACUUCAACUUUGACGCAGGCACAGACAUUGACAAUGACGCAACGAGGAGUGAACAGAAAAUGGGAGCUUAUAUACACACAAGCAAACAAGGGUUAACGAGACAACAAGGAACAGAGUUCAGGUUGUAUCUCAAGCAAGGCUGCACGCCAUCUUGCUUGCUUGGAAAUAUGCCAAAUGGCUGCAGACUUUUGUAGCUGCACCACGGAGAGGCGUAUGAGCCUUUUUGGGUUUCAGAAAGUUCCCGUUCACCCUGAGAUCGGCCAAAACAAGUGUGCGACAACUGUGGGACCAUUGGACUUACGAGGAAGUUCUCACUUCUGUUGUCAUCUCUAUGACAACGAUGUGCUGAUUGGCUGAGAGAGCCUGCGUGGGUGCGCUGAUUUGCUGAGAGAGCGUGCAUGGAUGCGCUGAUUGGCUGAGAGCGCCUGCAUGCUACUAGCUAGCGUGGACGGACCGCAACCUCAAACACGAGUCGCACCUUUCACUUUGUAAUCUGUUUGUAGAUGCUGUCGUGUACUUUAUUUUUCAUUCAAGAACGUGAAUCAUACUGAGAGCAAACAUGAUUUAUUUAUUUCCCCGUGUUACCCCGGCAUUCUCGCUGCAUGCAGGCAAUGUUCAAGAUCACAACGUUAAGCAACGUUCACUAACACCACACAUGCCAUCAGUAGAAGACCUAAUCAAACAAAAUGGCAUGCUCAAAGUUGACCAAGAGAAGAAAAGUGGACAACGAAAAUAGCCGUUUCAAUGAGGAAUGGAAUGACAAAUAUGCGUCCAUUUUACCAACUGCACGUACUGAACCUAUGUGCUUAAUAUGCUUAAAGACAGUUGCUCUGAUAAAAAGUGAAAAUGUGAAAGGCCAUUAUGUUAAAGAGCACAGCUCUUUUGAAGAUGUUUCCUUUUAAAUCCGAAUUGAGAAGGCAAGAAUUAACAGGCUGAAGCAGUCAUAUCAAGAGUCAAGCAAGGUUAUUGUUAAAUCUAUGACACAACAACAAAUUGCAACGGAGUGCUCACUCAGAGUGUCUGGGUGUUGGCCAAACAUAAGAAGCAGUCCUCUGAUUGAGAAAGAAUAAAAUAGUCUAUGACUGAAGUAAUAACAGCAAUGUUCAAAGGGAAAGAAAAGGAGGAAAUGACAAAAAUCAAACAAAUCUCACUCUCAGAUUUAUCAACCACAAGAUGCACUGAAGUACUGGCUGGUGAUGUGAGUUGAGUGAUUGUGACCCCCAAAUGUCAUUUUUCUCACUGAGCAGUGUUUUACAGUUAAAGUUACUGUCAAUAAUUGUUAUGUCUGCACCUUAAUGACAGACCUUGUCAUUUAUGUUCUGAACAAGCGAACAUGUACUGUACUACUUGCACAUGUUUUCUUUUUUGUCCAGCAGUGUUUUACAGUUACAAAAUGUACUGUCAAUAGUUAUUGUUUGCACCUUAAGGACAGAUCCUGUCAAUUAUAUAGUUUACAAGUGUAAACAUUGUACUUGCAUGUUUUUGUUGUUGUUGUAUUUUUAAGUCAAAAAAAUGUUUUGUCAAUUUAUCUUUAUUUAAUCAGAAUGUACAUUGUAUUUUUGUUUGGUCAAAAGAAAACCACCUUUACCAAUUUCGACCGGCCUUGUACUUGACAGACAUUAAUAAAUGGACCCAUGCUUGUAUGAAAAAAAUAACUGUGGACUCAUUUGUAUUUGAGGACCCCUGGUCUAGAGGAUGUUAAAUGCUCGGAGUCUCGGACAAGUUUUUUUUUUUUUUUGUACAUGCAUUUCAUUUCUUCUAGAUAGGUUUAAUUGAAAAUAAUGUAAUGCUUUUCAUUCUGUGUGUGUAUUAUCGUCAUAAAGUUGGUGUUUUCCUUGUAGACGCUACAAUAUCUGCUCAUCUGUCUAGGUUUCUUUGAAAUUGUUGGAAACCUUUA